rnacentral:rRNA from 1 species
GAGUUUGAUCCUGGCUCAGGAUGAACGCUGGCGGCGUGCCUAAUACAUGCAAGUCGAACGGACCUUUAUUUUAGAAAAUCCCAAUGUGUUUGGGGGUUUUCUUAAAUAAUGGUUAGUGGCGGACGGGGUGAGUAACACGUUAGUACCUACCCCAAAGUGAGGAAUAACCCGGCGAAAGUCGGGCUAAUACCACAUGUGACCGUUUACGGUUAAAGCCUUCGGGCGCUUUGGGAGGGGCUUGCGUCUGAUUAGCUAGUUGGUAGUGUAAUGGACUACCAAGGCGACGG